ensembl:lncRNA
UUUCUGAAAGGAGGAAUUGGCAAAUUGUUCACCAAGGUCCUCUAAGAGACUGACACGAAGCACUUCUGCCAAGAAGUGAUUUCUCCCAAAGGAAACCAGCUAUGGAAGUUCCAGGAGUAGUUAUUUUUCCCACAAGAGAGUCACUGUAUUUUCUGAAUUUAUUUGGUUGAAUAGGUGAUUACAAAGAAUAAUAGUUAUUUAUUUGAUAAGAUUAGAUUAGAUCAUUCUGAGUGUUAAUGUGACUGUUAAAAUAAAGACUUCUUAAGAAGUCAGCCAAAAUAGGGAGAGUAAAUCGUGUAGUAAACAAAAAAAAAAAGACAAAAGAGUCUGACAACCUCAGAAAUCUCUGCUCUCAGGACUAACUCAUCAUUUCCACCAAUUUUGACAGGUAAGUUGUUUGCUAGAGGGAUACCGGGAAAUUGUCAAGAAAAACACAAAACGAGAGAGUGCCCACAGAUAAACACAUUGCGAGUUUGAGGUGUGUGUAUCGUAAAUGAUGGGGGCUGUUAUGACCUUGUGGGUUUGUGGCAGACAAAUGGGUCCACAGCUGGGGCAGAGGUGCGUUGGCCUAGAGGUGGCCUAGUUUCGUCUACAGCUGAGAGGAGCUGAGACACUGGAAUCUUCUUUGUUGCCUGAGGUGAAGUCAAGAGGUAACUGUAAAAUUCAGAGAGUUCAUUCAGAAGUCGCUGGUGUAGUGGAAGGUGCUGUCGAGUCGAUCUUCAGAGUACAUCCCAGGAAUGUACCAGGCUGCUACAAUCAGCAUUUGAGAGGAACUGGAAGACUGGCAUAUCCUUUGUUGCCCAAGAUUUGACUACCCACAAAGCCCUGCAUUCAGCAGACUCAUUCCUCACUCAGUCCCAUCAUCAGACCUCAUGGCAGGCUUUGAAGAAGAUGUGUGUUUACCUGAAGCUCCUGGCAGGAGAGAUAAGAGGCCUGUUUGGCAGAUGGUACGAGCCAUCAUCAGCGGACACAGCUGCAGCCCAGACCCUAACAAGCCUGGCGUUCGAGCAGGAUGGGCUUCAGGAACUGGUAUGGAGAGGGACUUUAGCAACAAUAUCCAUCGCCCAUCGUUCCCUCCAGCCAUCUGUGCCUGCAUCUGAGCCCGGCUGACAGGCUUCACACUUACAGAGUGUGAAAUUAGCAUGUGUGUGUGUGUGUGUGUGUGUGUGUGUGAGGAGCAAUGGGGGAGCUCCAUUAAAUCAGUCUGGUACGUGUGUGUUCAGGGUUGUGUGAAGGUGUCGUGACUGUGCGAGCGUGUGUUGGGUCUCUGUGGAAGACACAGGUGUUCAGGUUGACUCUCAGUGGCCCGGGAAGCACAAAGCCUGCGUUCGACGGGAAUCCGAUCUGCGACGGUCCUCCCCUGAAUUAUGUUAAUUAACCUUCGGCCCAGAACAUGAUUCUCCGGUAUCAGGGUGAGCUGUUCAUGUCAACAAAUGUCCAUAAUUGACUAUUGAACUUCGCUCAGUGGUUUGUGCAACCCGACCUCUUAACUGUGACCUCUGGUUUUUGACAUCUGCCUUCUGUGGGAAAUUAAUCACGGGUUAUGUUUGGAAUUAAAUGCUAGAGUAAUGCUUAAUGAAUACUGUGGCAUGUACACUGUAUACUGCUUUGUUUUUAAUAAAAGUAUGUAAAUGUAAUGUUACA